GUGCUUGCACCUUUCAAGCGAGUGGCGAACGGGUGAGUAACACGUGGAUAACCUGCCUCAAGGCUGGGGAUAACAUUUGGAAACAGAUGCUAAUACCGAAUAAAACUUAGUAUCGCAUGAUAUCAAGUUAAAAGGCGCUACGGCGUCACCUAGAGAUGGAUCCGCGGUGCAUUAGUUAGUUGGUGGGGUAAAGGCUUACCAAGACGAUGAUGCAUAGCCGAGUUGAGAGACUGAUCGGCCACAUUGGGACUGAGACACGGCCCAAACUCCUACGGGAGGCUGCAGUAGGGAAUCUUCCACAAUGGGCGCAAGCCUGAUGGAGCAACGCCGCGUGUGUGAUGAAGGCUUUCGGGUCGUAAAGCACUGUUGUAUGGGAAGAAAUGCUAAAAUAGGGAAUGAUUUUAGUUUGACGGUACCAUACCAGAAAGGGACGGCUAAAUACGUGCCAGCAGCCGCGGUAAUACGUAUGUCCCGAGCGUUAUCCGGAUUUAUUGGGCGUAAAGCGAGCGCAGACGGUUGAUUAAGUCUGAUGUGAAAGCCCGGAGCUCAACUCCGGAAUGGCAUUGGAAACUGGUUAACUUGAGUGUUGUAGAGGUAAGUGGAA
rnacentral:rRNA from 1 species